GUUUUAUUCCUAGGUUUGAAAUGCGAUCCGUGGCGGGUUGGGUGCACAAUGCUUCUGGUCGGCUCGGGGUCCGCUUGUUCUGGAGGUGGGUUCUCCAAAGGGAACCGGUGGAGGUGCAAACAUGCUGGUUCUGGGUGAAGCGAUGGAUGUGGGGCUUCGUGGUCAUAAGUGGAAGGCCAUGGGUUUUCUGUCGUUUGCAGGUUUUUGGGCCUAUUCAGCACCGAUGUCGUGGUCUUCGUUGGCCUCUCUGUCUCUCCUGGGAUCCCGUUGCACCACUUCCCGAUCGUUUUUUCUAGUUCGUGGGUCGGAGCUGGCCUCUU
rnacentral:lncRNA from 1 species